GCAAAGGCAAUGAAUAGAAGAGUAGUCUUAUUGUCACAUUCUAGAGAGCUUCCGGAUGGUGCAAGGAAGUAAUGCUGCAUAAGAUGAAUAAAGACUAGGAGCUGUAUUUUGGAUCGUAAGUGAUAAAAUAACGUGUGACCGCGUUAAGGUUUAAUGAGAUCAUAGUCAUAUGAUGAAUUAGGGUGGUACCACGAUUAACUCUCGUCCCUUGG
rnacentral:ncRNA from 1 species